rnacentral:siRNA from 1 species
AGGAUAGGUGGUAGGUAGUU